GUAAAUUCCAUUCUUUCUGCUGGUAGAUAAGAGACUUCCAUUAAUGUGCCUUCAAUACUACUGCCGUAACAUCUCUCCUAUUGUUUUCUUUAUACUUUAUAGACAAGUCAUCCAACUAGUGAAGGUCGAAAUUUGCUCAAAGAGUGCCUUCUCUGAGUACAAUCAGACAGUAGCCUGCCAUGCUAGUGCUUUUGUCUUUGCUUUCCAUAUACUUUCUUUUCUGUUUGUUUGGCUUUUGCUUUUCAAUUUCACCCUCAAUCUUUGUCAUUCAUUUUCCAAUUUAAAGUUUCCCUUGCCAAUGAGACUCCUUUUAUUUGCAUUUUGAUUGAUUAUUUACUAGCUGGAGGCUCCCUGCACUUGGUGAAAGGGUAGAGUUCCCCCUUCCUUUUUUUUUUUCCAGAGCUAAGGACCAAACCCAGGGCCUUGUGCUUGCUAGGCAAGCGCUCUACCACUGAGCUAAAUCCCCAGCCCCGGUUUUGUCUUUGGAACUUUGUAGAUAGUCUUGGUGUUUUUUGUAUUUUCCCAGUGAUCAGUCUUUCCUAAUAACUUACAGUGCAAUCACACUUGCAAAUGGUACUCUUAACAUGAGGCUUUUCCCAAACUGUAGUAUAUUGACUUCUGAAUAGAGAAGUCUCCGCUAAAGGAGCACAGUUUGUUUGCUUACACAUUUAAAAAAUUAGAAUUUGUUUGUGUGUAGGGAACAUGUACAUCGGGCUUGGAGAGUAAGUUGAUAGCUCUCAGUUCUCUUCACCAAACUGGAUCCAACUUGGCAGUGUGCAUCUUUACCCAAUGAACAAACUUACCCGCCAAGUGUUUUUAAAACAAUAUGACCAUAGCCUUGGUUUGCUGACUAAAGUGCCCCUGUGUUGCAGCUGUCAUAAGAAGCGUUGCUCCUUGCUUUUUGGCUAGAUUACCUCUCAACUUUUUCUUCUCGGGAUUGCCUCUUAGUCUACUACAGAUCCACAGAGACAACAAAGGUUCUUGUGAGACGCAUGCUAUCAGUCAGGCCCUGCCUUGUCUGUGUUUUUUUCCAGGCCCAGUGCCCCAGCUCUAGGUUUUCAACCUCCCUUUAACUAUUUUGGGUUUUCUCUUUCCUUAUGGCAGUGGGUCUCAACCUGUGAGUCUUGACCCUUUAGCUGUUGCCUACAAACAUUGGAAAUAAUAAAUUUAUAAUAGAAAAAUCACACGCUUAAAAUACCAAUGAGAAUCUUUUUAUGGUUGUGGGGGUCACCGCAACAUGAGGAACUCUCUUAAAGGGUCACAGCAUUGGAAGGGUUGAGAGCUACUGCUCCAUGGAAACUUAAGGAAGUUAUUCUGCCACAAAAGUCACGUGGAUUAACCAUGGCUCAAGCCAUUCCAAAUAUGAGACUUGAUAAUUUUUACUCUGCCACUUGAUCUUUUUAAUGUGCUGUCACAGGAAAACGUGAGCAGAAUCUAAGAGAUUCCUUUAAUUACAAGGUACAAAUGUCUGCUUGGUGUUAGAUUUGCAAAGGAGGCAACUACUGGCUCUUUGGAAACUGUGCUCUAUGCGUCUUUAGAAAAUCUGUAUCCUUUAUGCCCGCUGCUAGCCCCAGAGCCUUAAGACAAGGGUUGGACCACUGAUCAUUGAGUAGGAGCUUCAUCUUUAAAAUUUGGGGUGUGCAGUUAUGAACUGGAAAAGGCUGCAUCGUGAAUGAAAACACAGUGCAGAGUGGGACCCGUGUUGCUCUCUGGAUAGAACAACAAGAGUGGCGCCCCAAGAAGAUGGAGAGUGACGUUUUGGGAGUUUCCCAUUGGAGCAAAGUGAGAGAAAGAUGGAGUGAAUGAGGUGUCUUUAUUUUGUGAGGGAUACAUAAACUGCUUCUCAAGGAUUGGAGAUUUCUACGUAUUACUCCUUUUUAAAGAUUUCUAUUUACCCGAUUGACAAACCAGAUCAGGGUUUUCAUUGAAUUCUGCUACAUGGAUAAAGGGCUCAAGGGCAAGGGAUAGCACCAGACGUGCUAAUUAACUGAGUGAAAAAGUACAACAAGCAUUCCCUGAAGUAGCUCCUGCUGUUUGUCCAACAGGGAAUUUUUCUCAUGGGAGAUGUUUGGCACAGGGAUGUUUCUCUUCAUGUAACUCUUCAGCUCACCAGACAAGUUGAACUUAAAUUUUUAUGGUCUUGUGAGUUAGUCCGAUAAAUGAAGGAGCAAGAAAGCCAACACCCAGUUGGCAAGAAUAUGACCUACUGACUGACAGCCAUUAAAAAACUCGAUUCAAUUGGCCUGAGCUUUUCUGUAUUCUAUUAAAAAUGAAAUUUCCCCCUCAGUGAAAGUAACAUGAUCAACAUUUUGAAAGUUAUGAACAUGCACAAUUAUAUAAGCCUUGAAGCAAUGACUUGUAAAAGUAUGGAUACUCUUCCUGUAAGCGGCCAGAGGUGACCCGUGGUUCAUGACUCUCUAGACCCACAAAACCAUGCAAAUUAAUAGACUCAAACCGUUAUGUUCACAUUAAGUUUAAUAUAAGUUCUACAUCGAAUAUGUACUUCUGGAUUUAUUAUUGUACAAAUUGGACUUAACAAAUUUUUAAUAUAAAAUGUAUUAUACACCAUACAUUAAUAGUUAUAUAUCUUGUUUCUUGAGAAUUAAUUUCUACCAAUUAUUUCCUUUUGAAUACUUGCUGUUGAAUUAUUCUCAAUAUACUUGUACAAAUUCCUGCCUGUAACUAGUAAAUGUGGAUAUUUCAUUAAACAAUUACUAUAUAACAUUCUCUGGAAGGUUCUGCUAAUAAUCUCAUCUGUGGUCCUAUACAUUGUUAAAAAUAUAUAGUUGCAUAUCUUCCGUUCCUGCAGAAUGCUUUUGUAGCUGCCGUUUUCUGCAGGGGGUCUGUGUUGCCCUGCCUUUUUCGUGAUUUGCAAAGUGGAAUUGAGUAUUGCUAUCGUGCCAAGCAGUAGGACGUCUUACAUAAUCAGUCCCUUUUUACUCCUAUGCAUGGGAACAACUAUUUUGAUCUAUAUACACAGCAAAUGUUUGAAAUUGAAAUAUGUCAAAUCAUAUACUGUGUUUAGAAUUAGGAGUCUGGCUGCUUUCGCUUCUUAAAUGGACCCAUUAUUUACCCAUGCUGGUGAGUUUUACACGAUUCUCUAAUUGUUCAACAUGUGGGAUCGUUCUACUUCUGACAGUUACGAGCAAGGUUCAUAUGUACUUUUAGGUAUAAGGUUUUUAAGAUUUAGAUUAAUUGUCCUUAGUUCUAUGUAUGAGUUCUUGUGCUUAUAGAGGCCAGACGCUUAAGGUAUCACAUUUCUUCUGAACCUGGUGUUAUAUAAAUAUUUGUAAGGUGUCCAGCACGGGUGAAUUUCUUUUUCUUUUGGUGUUUAAUUCUUUUCAUGUUCCCAAUAUGAAUUCUGUCAGAGGACCUUCCGUUCUUUAUUUCCUUUGCUGUACUUUACACUUUGAUGUGAUCCCAUUUGUCAGACUUUGCUGUUAUUUCUUAAGCUAUUCCUUUUCAGAAAUUAUUGCCUUUGAUUUUAAUGCAAAGUAUUCUCCAUUUUCCUUUACAAGUUGUAGUUUCUGGAUUUACAUUAGGGCCUUUUAUCCAUUUUGCACUAUUCUUUGGAUAGCGGGAAAAGCAGAGAUAUUCUGUAAGUGGGUAUCCUACUCUUUCUUUGGGAACUUUGUGUUGAAAGCGGAGAGACACGCUCAGUGUUUACAGCCCAGCCCUCGCAAUAGGCUCCCAUCGUGAUUCAGCAAAGUUGGUUCUCACUUUGGUAAGGGAGCUAAGGCAUAGGUAUGGCUUUUAAACAUACUAGAUUGGUGCCCGUGGUACCCAUCUAGGCAAUUUGCCAAAUUCAAGGUGAAAGGAAAAGCAUCUGAAUGUGACAGAGCCAGUGACAUGCCCACCAAGUCUCAGAAUUAUUACCAGAAUACACCUUGUGGUAAAGGUGCCAAGGCAUGGGAUUGUUUCCAGUGAGAAUUAACAAGCACAAUAGUUUGUCACUAUGAGCAGGAGUGGAAGCUGAAUUCACCAUGGCAGAUGCCUAUGUCAACUAUUUUAAUAAAUCCAUUCGUGGGGGUAGCUUGAGAGGUGGCUUGUAAGCCCUUUGGUGGAUUCCCAGCACCCUGUUUUGGCUUCUGCAUGGAAUGUGCACAUACAUACAUGGUGUACAAACAGACAUGCAGGUAGAACAUCUAUAUGCAUAAAACAAAACCAAUCAUAAUGCUGAUGUUUUUUUAAGAAGGUUUUCUACAUCCUUGUGGUCUCCUGAUCUAGUAUAGUCUGAAGUCUGAUAUUGGUAUUGGUCAUUGGUCUGAUGAUUGCCUUGGCUCUUUUCGUAUGAGUUGCAAGAUUUUACUCCAGUUAUUUGAUGAAUAUCAUUCAAAAUUUCUUGAGAAUUUCAGUUUAGAUGAGGACAUUAAUAUGACUUCUGUUUAGUGUUGGUCAGUGUCUAAUGUAUUAAUCUGGUUUACAGUUUUCAUUUCUAAAGUCUUGGUUAGGUUUGUUUGCAUUUUGACAUUUUAAAUUCGCUUGUGAAUGAAAUUCUUAGUCUUUCUCAUCGUUUUCAGUAUUUGUUUACAGAAAAGCUUCAGGUGGCAAUGGUGUGGGCCUCAUUUCUCUAGCUAAGGAUUCAAAGCUAUUGACUAGAUAGUGUGAGGGUGGGCAGCCCUAUGACAUUCUUUAUUGUUGAGAAAACAGUUUCAGGUAGACUCCAUUGAACGUUGUGUUCACUCUGCAUUAUAUAUGGCACUUAGGCUGAGAUAAUAUUCUUCUUAAAGAAGUCAUUGUCAGCAUCAAAGAUGAUCAUGUGAUUUUUCUGGCCUUGGUUCUAUGCAUGUAAUAUAUUUCAUUUAUUGUAUGUUUAUGAAGGACAAAAUAGUGUGCAUAUUCAGAGAAUGAGCUUGAUGAAGUCCUUAGGGUAGAAUUCAGUGAGUGAAAGUGCUCCUGAGCUUUUCUUCAGUUAGAAGACAUCGCCUGGUUGAGUGGUUGUCUAGCAUCCUGUAUCCCCAGCACUCAGAAUAGUACCAGAAAGAAUAGCAGUCAUUCUCUAGUUCAUAGCCAGUAGAAUCCUUAACCAUAACACCCUUUCUUAAAAACGUGUGUUUGUAUGUGUGUGUGUGUAUGUCCCAAACAACACAAAAUUCAGUCGUAGUUAAGCAAACAAUUUUGGUGGUAAGGGGAAAUACUUUAUCCUGCUCUUCAUUUAUUAUUUCCCAUCAACAAGUAAAUUUGAACAGAGUUUGUUCCUUUGUCUAAUUCAGGACAGUGUGUGGUUGGUUUCAGCUCUCCUUUUGAUGUUGGAGUGUAUUGCUGUAAGCUUCCCUUUUUAUAAAUGCUUUUCCUCUAUAUCAAAGCCAGAAAUGAGUUGUGUUUACAUUUUGAUUUAUCUCCAGAUAGUUUUUGCUUCCCUUUUGAUUAUUUCUGUGACCCACUGAUUGGUCAGGAGUAUGUUGUGUCAUUUCCUUGUAUUUGUAAUUUUUCCAAACUUCCUGUUAUGAUUUCUUAUUUCAUCACGUUAAGGUCAGAAGCAUUACUUUAAAUUAUUUCAAUUUUCCUAAAUUUGUCGAGACUGUGGAUGAUCUUCAAUGUGAUCUACAGCAAUUGUUGUAUUUGUUGAUAACAUAUGUAUGCUUUUAGUGGUGGAAUGUUCUGGAUACUUUCGUUUCUUUUGCACUUGCGUUGUUCUUUCAGUAUUUUCUUGCUAAUUUUCUGCCUCUGCCCUAUCCACUAUUGAAUGUGACAUCUACUUGCUUUAUGUGUUUACAUCUUGGGAGCAUAGGCAUUUACUAUAUCUUCAUGGGCUUCUUCUUUGUCUCUUGUGAUAGUACUGACUUAACAUAUCUCUUUGCUUUUAUUUACAAUUUAUAUCAAGUAUCUUUUUCCAUCACUUCAUCUUCAGUAUAUGUGUACCCUCUUAGCUGUAGAUUCUCUAGUCAUUGAACACAGCCACUGAGCAAAGCUUCAGAGAUGCUCAGUUGACCUUACAGAGCUCAAGACUGGAUUCAGCCAUGCACGCGAUCCCCUGCCACAAUGAGAUGAUGCUCACUGGAUAAUUGCUCCAAAGCCAGAGGAGGAGGUGGUUCCACAGACGAGAAAGAUGAAGACAUAGAAGACACUGAAGACACAAAAAUGUAUGUCAUAGGAAUCGAUCCAGCACAAAAUAAAUGCAGAUAAGUUUUUUUAAUGAGAGAGAAAGCUCAACUGGCUGAGAAGCACUUAAAGAA
ensembl:lncRNA